rnacentral:rRNA from 1 species
GGAAGUAUCAUUGUCGAAACCUGCAAUGCAGAACGACCCGCGAAUACGUGAAAACUAACUCGGGGAGCAGGCCCUCGGGUCUGCUGCCCGAAGUCUCGGGCGAGGCCCGUGCGUUCGACGCACGAGCUGCGCUGCGGGCGAAAACAACAAUCCCCGGCGCGGAUUGCGCCAAGGAACCAGAAAAAGAUGCGUGCUCCCCCGGUCCCGAAACGGUGCUCGGAGGGAUGCGUGGUCGUUGUCAUAUUUGAAACGACUCUCGGCAACGGAUAUCUUGGCUCUCGCAUCGAUGAAGAACGUAGCGAAAUGCGAUACUUGGUGUGAAUUGCAGAAUCCCGCGAAUCAUCGAGUCUUUGAACGCAAGUUGCGCCCGAAAGCCGUCAGGCCUAGGGCACGCCUGCCUGGGUGUCACGAAACGUCGCCAAACAUCCCCUCGCCCAUCUCUGAUGGGAACGAAAGGGGCUGGCGGAGAUUGGCCUCCCGUGCGCUCCCGCUAGCGGUUGGCCCAAAUUACGGUCUCCUGGCUCGGCAGCCACGACACGCGGUGGUUUGAAGCGCAUGCAUCGAGCACCGUCGCGGGCAAGCCUUGUCCAAGGGGAGGCAGAGACCCCGACGCGAAGCGUCUCCACACAGCGACCCCAGGUCAGGCGGGAACACCCGCUGAGUUUAAG